UACGUAGGGGGCAAGCGUUUGUCCGGAUUUAUUGGGCGUAAAGAGCGUGUAGGCGGUUUGGUAGGUCCGUUGUGAAAACUCGAGGCUCAACCUCGAGACGCCGAUGGAAACCAUCAGACUAGAGUCCGGAAGAGGAGAGUGGAAUUCCUGGUGUAGCGGUGAAAUGCGCAGAUAUCAGGAGGAACACCGGUGGCGAAGGCGGGAUCUCUGGGCCGAACUGACGUCUGGAGGAGCGAAAAGCUGGGGAGCGAACAGG
rnacentral:rRNA from 1 species